rnacentral:rRNA from 1 species
UACGUAGGGGGCAAGCGUUAUCCGGAAUUAUUGGGCGUAAAGAGUACGUAGGCGGUCUUUUAAGCGCAGGGUAUAAGGCAAGGGCUUAACCUUUGUUGGCCCUGUGAACUGGAGGACUUGAGUAUCGGAGAGGGAAGCGGAAUUCCUAGUGUAGCGGUGAAAUGCGUAGAUAUUAGGAGGAACACCAGUGGCGAAGGCGGCUUUCUGGACGAAAACUGACGCUGAGGUACGAAAGCGUGGGGAGCAAACAGG